rnacentral:lncRNA from 1 species
AGAAGUCUCUAUUUGCUACUUACUCCUCUCAUAUUGUUGAUGUUACUUGUACAUCUAACUCUACCUCAUUUGAAGUAUCAACAUUGAAGGAGAAUAUUGAGCUACGUGCUCAACUUGAUUUACUAACUAGCAAUUAUGGGAAGUUGGAAGAAAACCAUGUAAUGCUCACAAGCUCACAUGCCAAUCUUCUAACAUCCUAUAAUGUGCAAAAGUUAGCUCAUGAGGCUAUCAUCACCAAG